GUCUGAGACACCUUGUGGGGCCGAUGGCGUGGGAUCUUAGGGUUUUAGGGGUCCUCUGAGGGUUUGGGAGCCAUUUUGGCUGGCUAAGAGGGACAUAGGACUGGGGAAUUUGUGGGCCCCUUGCAGCUGUCUCUGGGGGGUUUUAGGGAUCCUGUGGGACUCCCUGCAAAUGUUCCUGUGGGGCUGGGGAACUCUGUCAGGUUUAGGGGAUGCCUUUUGGCUGGACCUGUGUCAUUUCAGGGUCCUAUCUAGCUGGUUGCGUGGGGUUUGGAGGCACUGUGUGGUUUACGGCACCAUUUAGCUGUCCCUGUGGUGUUUAGGGGGCCCUGUGAGGCUUAGGCUGUGUGGUAGCCGCAUGAGGUUAAGGGUCCUGGUGGGGUUUAGAGGCCCCAUGUGUCAGGUCCUGUGGGGUUUGCAGGCCCUGUGGGGCUUGAGGCUCCUUUCAGUUGAUGCCAAGGGAUCUGGGGGCCCUGUGAGGGUUUGGGAGCCAUUUUGACCCUCUCUGAGGGACGUGGGGAAUUCAUGGGCACCUUGCAGCUGUCCCUGCAGGGCUUAGGGGCCCUGUGCGACUGAGGGGUUCUCUGCAAGUGUUCCUGUGGGGUUUGAGGUACAUUUUGAUUGUUUCAGUGGAGUUUGGGGACCCUGGGGGGUUUAGGGGAUACCUUUUUGCUGGACCUGUGUGAUUUGGGGGCCCUGUCUAGCUAGCUGCGUGGGGCUUGUAGGUGCUGUGAGGUUUGGGGCACCUUUUGGCUGGCCCUGAGGGGUUUAGGGGCUUCCAUUGGGUUUAGGGAUCCCCUUUUGUCUGGACCUGGAUAUUUUGGGGGUAUUAUGUGGCAAAUCCUGUGGCAUUUAGGGGGCCUUGUGAGGCUUAGGACGCAUGGUAGCUGCAUGAGGUUAAGGGGCCUGCUGGGGUUUAGGGGCCCCAUGUGGUAGGCCCUGUGGGGUUUUCAGGCCCUAUGGGGCUUGGGGGCACUUUGUGGCUGACCCUGUGGGGCUUGGGGUUCUUGUGGGAUUCAGGGAAUCCCUUGUGGCUGGCUCUGUGGUAUAUGCGGCCUAUUGUAACUGACCCUGGGAUUUAGGGGACUCUGGGGGACUUAGAGGCCCCAUGUGACUGGCCCUGUGGAUUUUGCAGGCUUUGUGGGGUUUGGGGCUCCUUUUGGCUGAUCCUGAGGGGUUUGGGGGCCCUACAGGGCUUAGAGCCCCCAUGCAGCUGCCCCUGUGGGGUUUGGGGCUCCUUUUGGCUGGCUCUGAGGGAUUUGGGGGCCCAGAGAGUCAGGCCUUGUGGCAUUUAGGAAUCCCUGUAGUGUUCAGGCUGUGUGGUCAGCUGUAUGAGGGGGUCCUGUGGGCUUUGCAGGCCCUAUUGGGUUUUAGGAGCCCUGUGGGGUUUAGGAUUCCCUUAUGGAUGUCCCUGUGGGAUUUGCAGGCCUUGUGGGAUUUAGAGGCCCCUUGUGGCUGGCCUUGUGGGAUUUAGAGGCCCAUUGUGGCUCCAUCUUUCAAGCUUGAGCCCUGUGGGGUUUCAGGGGCCCCAGUGGGGUUUUGGGCCCCACAUAGUUAACCCAAUGGAACUGGAAGCCCCGUGGAUGUGGUACCUGCCUGAUGCAGGUGGUGACAGAGAGUCUGUCCCAGGAGCACGCGUUGGGCCUUGCUCUCCUCCAGCAGCAGCACUUCUUUACCCUGCUGUGGGGCCAGACACAGCACAGAUCUCCGCUUGCUGCUGCUCACUUCCAGUGCUGCUGCUUGUUGCCUGUGCUAGCUGAGCUGCAUCAUCUCUGUGACAGAAAGGAGGGCCUUUCUCAGAGACACUCAACUGAAAAGAGCAGAGCCGAUCUUUUGAAACUCUCACGAGGUAAAACAUUCGUCAUGAGGAAACAAUGAAGUGGACUUGUGGAGGACUGCAGAGGAUGGUGCCCUGAUGCAUUUUAAUCUGCAUCCGAGCUGUUCUUGUCUGAGUGAUCAUCUACCUUCAUGGCUUUACAUUCCUGGCUUCUCUGAUAUGUGUCCUUCCUCCUCAGCCCCUGUCCAACCUUCAUUUCCUGAAGAGAUGAUACAAAUUCAAGUUGUGUACUG